ensembl:snoRNA small nucleolar RNA SNORD94
CUGGCGAUGAUGAUUGGUGCAGGGGUACGUACCUCAGCUGAUGAUGGGAGCUGGGUGUUGCUGUUCCUCAGUUUAGUGGGCGUGUGGUCCUCUUAACAGGACAGCAGCAUGAUAAACACCACGGUCUGAGCCAA